UACAGAGGUCCCAAGCGUUGUUCGGAUUCACUGGGCGUAAAGGGUGCGUAGGUGGCCGGGUAAGUCUGACGUGAAAUCUACCGAGCCUAACUCGGAAACUGCAUCGGAUACUAUCCGGCUUGAGGGUUGGAGGGGGGACUGGAAUACUUGGUGUAGCAGUGAAAUGCGUAGAUAUCAAGUGGAACACCAGUGGCGAAGGCGAGUCCCUGGACAACUCCUGACACUGAGGCACGAAAGCUAGGGGAGCAAACAGGA
rnacentral:rRNA from 1 species